UACUCUUUGUGGUGGGUUUACUUGCUGUC
rnacentral:sRNA from 1 species